rnacentral:rRNA from 1 species
CUUUGGUUUUAUUUUGUUGGUUUUUAAGACCGAAGUAAUGAUUAAUAGGGACAGUUGGGGGCAUUAGAAUCGACAUGUCAGAGGUGAAAUUCUUGAAUUUUGUCGCGUCUAACUUCUGCGAAAGCAUUUGCCAAGGAUGUUUUCAUUGAUCAAGAACGAAAGUUAGGGGAUCGAAAACGAUUAGAUACCGUUGUAGUCUUAACCAUAAACUAUGCCGACUAGGGAUUGGUAGACGUUAUUUAUGACUCUAUCAGCACCUUAUGAGAAAUCAAAGUUUUUGGGUUCCGGGGGGAGUAUGGUCGCAAGGCUGAAACUUAAAGGAAUUGACGGAAGGGCACCACCAGGAGUGGAGCCUGCGGCUUAAUUUGACUCAACACGGGGAAACUCACC